AGAAUAAUAAGAAGAAGCGAAGGAAAUACCGUCUCCUCUUCCGUACCCAGCAUCAAAAAUCCUUUUGAAAAGUACCGCCUGAGAUCGAGGGCCGCCGAGGCUUGGUCUCUGGAGCCGACGAUAUUUCUAUUCGUCACUUUCGCAAAAUCCAUUUUUUAGCUGCUGAUGAUUUUUUCGUUCUGCGGCGUCAAGCCCCGUUAGCGUACAUUAUUUGCUGUUCCAAGUCGAACUUUCCUUCGUCGUGAAACAUUAUUCCUUGGGGAACGUCACGUUUCGGACGUAAAACAACAACGACGAAAACACGCGUCAAGGGAGAAUAAGGUAUUUAAGCGAGGGUGCGCCAGUGUGGAGAGGUGUUUGCUGUUCGCUCUCAUUUACGAUCACUACAAUACGAUGGCGAAGCUUUGCUCCCUGCUGCUGGUGUGCGUCCUCGCCCUGGUGUGCCUCGCCGCCGAGGGGGAGGCGUUCCCCUGGCCGCUCCCGUUCAGCUUCAACAAGAUGAUGAAGAAGGUCGCGUGCACGGCUGCCGGCCCCUUCACCGUCGUCAUGCCCGUCGCUGGCGCGGGGUGCGUAACUGGCAAAUAGAAGAAAUCAGAUUGUGGUAGCAACAGCAGAUACACAAUGUCUGGUGGUGACGUCUUUUAUUUUAUUUUUGUUUGACCAAGAAGAUAUCGUUGUCCGUUGUCGAUGUAAAUUAAAAGUAUAGGGGUGGCUUUAGUUCCCUCGCCUUUAUGUGAGAAUAAAUGAAAAAAACAAGUGGAA